rnacentral:rRNA from 1 species
UACAGAGGUGCCAAGCGUUAGGCGGAAUCACUGGGCUUAAAGCGCGCGUAGGCGGAUGUUUAAGUGUCUUGUGAAAUCCCACGGCUCAACCGUGGAACUGCUGGGCAUACUGGACAUCUCGAGGCACUCAGGGGCGAGCGGAACAAGUGGUGGAGCGGUGAAAUGCGUAGAUAUCACUUGGAACGCCAAUGGUGAAGACAGCUCGCUGGGGGUGUCCUGACGCUGAGGCGCGAAAGUCAGGGGAGCGAACGGG